rnacentral:rRNA from 1 species
CCUACGGGUGACUGCAGUGAGGAAUAUUGGUCAAUGGGCGCGAGCCUGAACCAGCCAAGUCGCGUGAGGGAGGACGGCCCUACGGGUUGUAAACCUCUUUUGCCGGGGAGCAACGGGCGUCACGUGUGGCGCCACUGAGAGUACCCGGAGAAAAAGCAUCGGCUAACUCCGUGCCAGCAGCCGCGGUAAUACGUAGGGGGCAAGCGUUAUCCGGAUUUACUGGGUGUAAAGGGAGCGUAGACGGCAGGGCAAGUCUGGAGUGAAAGGCAGGGGCCCAACCCCUGGACUGCUCUGGAAACUGUCCGGCUGGAGUGCAGGAGAGGUAAGUGGAAUUCCUAGUGUAGCGGUGAAAUGCGUAGAUAUUAGGAGGAACACCAGUGGCGAAGGCGGCUUACUGGACUGUAACUGACGUUGAGGCUCGAAAGCGUGGGGAGCAAACAGGAUUAGAUACCCUAGUAGUC